CAGAAAGUAGUUUAAAUNAGAACGCCAAUUUUGGGUGUUGGUAGUGAAGUUAAGUGCUUUCUUUCUGA
rnacentral:tRNA from 1 species